rnacentral:misc_RNA from 1 species
AUCGGUACCUUCCCAAUGAUAUGAACUGGCGAGAUCUAUUUGAGAUGGUUAUAGUCUCAGCUAGGAAGCCAGAAUUCUUCCAAAUGGCCCACCCAAUGUAUGAAGUGGUGACUGGUGAAGGUCUGAUGCGUCCUUGUUUUAAAGCUCGCCCAGGUGGAUUAUACUCUGGAGGAAGCGCUCAGAUGAUUGAGAGUUCGCUCAAUGUUCAUGGAGAUGAAAUCUUAUAUGUUGGUGAUCAUAUAUACACUGAUGUAAGCCAAUUCAAAGUUCAUCUACGAUGGAGAACUGCUUUGAUUUGUCGAGAACUAGAAGAGGAGUAUAAUGCGUUAAUUCAUAGUCAAGAAGAGAGAGCUAGUUUGAUAGAUCUUAUCAAUAAAAAAGAGGUUUUAGGUGAUCUCUUUAACCAACUUCGGCUUGCUCUUCAGAGGAGGACCGAGGGACGUCCUGCACAGACCCUUGCUGCCACACAUAUGGAAGAUAAUGAACUCACAGAAAGCAUGCAAAAGCUACUUGUUGUUAUGCAGAGGCUAGAUCAGAAAAUUGGUCCAAUGUUGGAUGAGGAUGGAGAGCUUUUCAACAAAAGGUGGGGUUAUCUUUCACGUGCAGGUCUGUGGGAUAAAAGUCACUUGAUGCGUCAAAUAGAAAAAUACGCUGAUAUCUAUACGUCCAGAGUUUCAAACUUUCUCCACUAUACACCUUUCAUGUAUUUCCGUGCCCAAGAACAGAAUCUUGCUCAUGAUUCAUACACAUUUGACCAUCUACGACGUGAGGAGAAUUAGCUGAAUAACAGGAGCGGCAGAUUUUCGUUACAACUCUAUAGCCAAUCCUUGUUGUAUUAUAUGUAGUAGUUGUAUUUGAUAUCUUCUCUAGUCCCUCCUCUACUGUUGUACUUAACCCCACAGCCCUGCUACAACUUUUUGUUGCAGGACUCUAGUAUAAGCUAUCGAAUGUCAUAGCUAUGUUAUUGUACAAGUAAACAGUUGAGGAAGGUCAUAA